AGAGUUUGAUCAUGGCUCAGGACGAACGCUGGCGGCGUGCUUAACACAUGCAAGUCUACGAGAAAGAGGUAGCAAUAUCUCAAGUAAAGUGGCGCAAGGGUGAGUAAUAUGUAAGUAAUCUACCUAUGGGUUCGGAAUAACGUCGAGAAAUCGGCGCUAAUACCGAAUAAUGCAGCGGCAUCGCAUGAUGAUGUUGUUAAAGUUGUCCCGACUUGUCGGGAUAACUCCUAUAGAUGAGCUUGCAUCUGAUUAGCUAGUUGGUAGGGUAAUUGCCUACCAAGGCUACGAUCAGUAGCUGGUCUGAGAGGAUGAUCAGCCACACUGGAACUGAGACACGGUCCAGACUCCUACGGGAGGCAGCAGUGAGGAAUAUUGGGCAAUGGACGGAAGUCUGACCCAGCAACGCCGCGUGGAGGAUGAAUGCCGUAAGGUUGUAAACUCCUUUUGAAGGGGACGAAUAUUCAAGUUCCGUAAGAAACUUGAACUGACUGUACCCUUAGAAGAAGCCCCGGCUAACUACGUGCCAGCA
rnacentral:rRNA from 1 species